GAUGAACGCUGGCGGCGUGCCUAAUACAUGCAAGUCGAGCGAACGGACGAGAAGCUUGCUUCUCUGAUGUUAGCGGCGGACGGGUGAGUAACACGUGGAUAACCUACCUAUAAGACUGGGAUAACUUCGGGAAACCGGAGCUAAUACCGGAUAAUAUUUUGAACCGCAUGGUUCAAAAGUGAAAGACGGUCUUGCUGUCACUUAUAGAUGGAUCCGCGCUGCAUUAGCUAGUUGGUAAGGUAACGGCUUACCAAGGCAACGAUGCAUAGCCGACCUGAGAGGGUGAUCGGCCACACUGGAACUGAGACACGGUCCAGACUCCUACGGGAGGCAGCAGUAGGGAAUCUUCCGCAAUGGGCGAAAGCCUGACGGAGCAACGCCGCGUGAGUGAUGAAGGUCUUCGGAUCGUAAAACUCUGUUAUUAGGGAAGAACAUAUGUGUAAGUAACUGUGCACAUCUUGACGGUACCUAAUCAGAAAGCCACGGCUAACUACGUGCCAGCAGCCGCGGUAAUACGUAGGUGGCAAGCGUUAUCCGGAAUUAUUGAGCGUAAAGCGCGCGUAGGCGGUUUUUUAAGUCUGAUGUGAAAGCCCACGGCUCAACCGUGGAGGGUCAUUGGAAACUGGAAAACUUGAGUGCAGAAGAGGAAAGUGGAAUUCCAUGUGUAGCGGUGAAAUGCGCAGAGAUAUGGAGGAACACCAGUGGCGAAGGCGACUUUCUGGUCUGUAACUGACGCUGAUGUGCGAAAGCGUGGGGAUCAAACAGGAUUAGAUACCCUGGUAGUCCACGCCGUAAACGAUGAGUGCUAAGUGUUAGGGGGUUUCCGCCCCUUAGUGCUGCAGCUAACGCAUUAAGCACUCCGCCUGGGGAGUACGACCGCAAGGUUGAAACUCAAAGGAAUUGACGGGGACCCGCACAAGCGGUGGAGCAUGUGGUUUAAUUCGAAGCAACGCGAAGAACCUUACCAAAUCUUGACAUCCUUUGACAACUCUAGAGAUAGAGCCUUCCCCUUCGGGGGACAAAGUGACAGGUGGUGCAUGGUUGUCGUCAGCUCGUGUCGUGAGAUGUUGGGUUAAGUCCCGCAACGAGCGCAACCCUUAAGCUUAGUUGCCAUCAUUAAGUUGGGCACUCUAAGUUGACUGCCGGUGACAAACCGGAGGAAGGUGGGGAUGACGUCAAAUCAUCAUGCCCCUUAUGAUUUGGGCUACACACGUGCUACAAUGGACAAUACAAAGGGCAGCGAAACCGCGAGGUCAAGCAAAUCCCAUAAAGUUGUUCUCAGUUCGGAUUGUAGUCUGCAACUCGACUACAUGAAGCUGGAAUCGCUAGUAAUCGUAGAUCAGCAUGCUACGGUGAAUACGUUCCCGGGUCU
rnacentral:rRNA from 1 species